rnacentral:rRNA from 1 species
UUGAACGCUGGCGGCAUGCCUUACACAUGCCAGUCGAACGGUAACAGGUCUUCGGAUGCUGCCGAGUGGCGAACGGGUGAGUAAUACAUCGGAACGUGCCCGAUCGUGGGGGAUAACGGAGCGAAAGCUUUGCUAAUACCGCAUACGAUCUACGGAUGAAAGCAGGGGACCGCAAGGCCUUGCGCGGACGGAGCGGCCGAUGGCAGAUUAGGUAGUUGGUGGGAUAAAAGCUUACCAAGCCGACGAUCUGUAGCUGGUCUGAGAGGACGACCAGCCACACUGGGACUGAGACACGGCCCAGACUCCUACGGGAGGCAGCAGUGGGGAAUUUUGGACAAUGGGCGAAAGCCUGAUCCAGCCAUGCCGCGUGCAGGAUGAAGGCCUUCGGGUUGUAAACUGCUUUUGUACGGAACGAAAAGACUCUUUCUAAUAAAGAGGGUCCAUGACGGUACCGUAAGAAUAAGCACCGGCUAACUACGUG